CUGAUCUAUAUCGUUUUAUAAUAUUAUGAUGAGAGUGUUUAUCUAAACAAAAGUUCGUGGUAUUUCUAUUAAAAUACAAAUAUAGUAUAUGAAAAGUUUGAAUAAUACGAAGCAUAAUAUACAUAUAUACAUCUGUGCAGUUGUUCCGAAGAAAUGUGUGUGCAUCGAAUACGAUCGUUGACGUGGAAGAUAUUUGAUAUAUAAGGAAUUAUAGAUAUCUCUGCAAACUGUGUUAAUCAUACAAUAUUCCACGGAUGGAAACGUUCACAAAUCAAGAGUUUACAACUGCAACUUACAAGUAAAACACUGAAUCUGAAUCUAAGCCAACGUCUUCUCCCUCCUCAACUGGUUAUUAGCAGGAGCGGCGAGAACAACCGUUGGAAAUUGGCACGGCACUUUGUAUCGCGACUUAAUGCGAUAUACGUACAGACAGCAAUUGGAGUUUCUGAAGUUGGAUUGCACGUCAACGGGGGAGAAGUUGGGCAACAUUAUGCCGGGAGGGCAUAUAACGCGAAACGAUAUUAGCUUCCGAUAAUUAUUACUCGAGGACGAAUAGAACGUCACGGAUUUACUUUAUACAUGCAAACUUGGAAACAAUGUAAACUUCCUAUUAGAUAUUCUUAUCGUAAUUACAACAGCAGUCUGACCGCUUUGAAAAUUAUCGUUUUAAAUUAAGUUAUUUAUAUUGCGUUUAAACGAUUAAUUUAUAUUUUGUAAACAUUUAUUUUAAUCGAUCGAGAAAAUUUAAUAAAUUUACACCAGGAAAAGAGAGA